ensembl:lncRNA
GUGCUUCCUACGCAACCUUGAGCCACGAAAACAACACUGACUUCCUCGUACAAAUAUUGACAAAUGUUUGUCAGAUGUGUCACACGUAAAUCAAUAAGAACACCUCCUAAGUCCUACCCUUUCGUUGGCUAUAGUCCAAAUGCCCAGACCUGUAGAACUCAGGCUGUAGUAUCGCCAUGUCUGUUAAUCUACAACAUGGAGUCCCCAGGAGCCAUACAGGAUAUUGGGUUGGCACUGCAUGAGGAAAAUGCCCUUCACCGUUUAGCACACCUCGUUACCGGGGCCUGUGAGACCCAGGGGAGAACAUCUGUGAGGCUCCAGAGGCAGAGAAACUGGGAUUGACAAUGACCGAAAACAUGCUGCGAAAGCAACCCAAAGAAGUGCAAAGAAGUGGAAUAUUCUGCAAUGGCCGAGUAAUUUGCCUGAUCUCAACCCGACGAGGACGUAUUUGACUUGCUGAAGACAAAACUGAAGACAGCUGCAGUAAAGGCCUGACAAAGAAUCACAAGGAAGAAACCCAGCGUUUGGUGAUGUCCCUGCAUUCCAGACUUCAAGCAGUUAUUGCCUGUUAAGGAUUCUUGACAAAGUAUUAAAAAUAAUUAAAUUUGAGCCCCUGAAAUAAGAUAUUUUUGUUCAACCCCUUUGAAUUAAAUCUGAAAGUCUACAC